UCAGCCUUCUUAAAAAGUUUGAUGUUAAUUGUGCUUCUUCCUCUCACCUAAACCACGACAUUACCUUCUCCCCCUCGGCCAAGCAAUACUCUUCUCACUUCUCAUAACCCUCACCGUAAACCCGUUGCACAACCCACCACCGCACAACCCCAAUUGGCUUUUAAAGCCCACGCCACCACCAAACCUGACACCACAGCAAAAAGUGUCAAACCCUAAAAUCCUGAAAUCCAAAUCUAAUAAAUUUUUCCCCAAAUUUUAAUCAAUUGAUUUGGGGUUUGUUUUUUCUUUGGAUUUUUUGCAUUCUAUUUUAAGGUAUUGGUUUGGAAUAUGUACAAAUUUCAAUGGAGGAAAUCGCAGGCCCAGAAUCGUUUCAUGAUUGGCGGAUAUUGAACCCAUCUUUUAUGGCCUGAUUCUGUACUAGUGCCACAAACUACAUCAAGGUUGUGAUUUUACAUCAAUUAAUAACUAUGGAUGUUAUUGAUAUUGAUAAUGAAAGACCAAAAUGAUAUUUGAGCCAAAAUUGUUUGAAACUCCACAAGUUGACCCCGAAAUGGUGGCUGCAACUGUUUUGGGUGGUGUUGGAACUUGUUUAUUUCCUGUUACAAGCAGGAGAGCUCUAUUUGUAUUGUGUGAUUUUCAUAAGAGUAUAUAAAUAAGGUUUUUGUUUGACGAUGACUUGGGUUUGUUUGCGAGGGAAUGGUGUUGUUAUCCAAGCGUGGCUUGCAGCCGAAUAUUGUGUAAUGUUGUGUUACGAUAUUAUAUGUUGCCUCAACAACUUUGUUUUAUUUAGGAUUUUGCUUACUUUCUUAUUUUAGUAUAUUGUAUAGGCUACUAACUUUUGCGUUAUAGUGUUUUGUUUCAUGUUUUUUGUAUUCUGGGCUUGGCUCAAAUUUUAUACCAAGUAAUUUACUGUCUAUAUUAGUA